UACGAAGGGGGGCUAGCGUUGUUCGGAAUUACUGGGCGUAAAGCGCGCGCAGGCGGUCUUCCAAGUCAGUGGUGAAAGCCCGGAGCUCAACUCCGGAACUGCCAUUGAAACUGUUAGACUUGAGGAUGAGAGAGGUGAGUGGAAUUCCCAGUGUAGAGGUGAAAUUCGUAGAUAUUGGGAAGAACACCGGUGGCGAAGGCGGCGACCUGGUCCUUGACUGACGCUGAGGCGCGAAAGCGUGGGGAGCAAACAGG
rnacentral:rRNA from 1 species